AUGAGUUAGUGUUGUUGUAACUUUGGGAAAUUCACUGGGCAUGAUCCACUUUAGAUAAACAAACUUACCUGUAAACGUUCCAAAGUUGAAAGCUUAUUUCUAAAACCAGAAUUUGAUCAUAAGAUACUAUCUCUAUGUAUUCAAUCUUUUUUUCAGCAAACAUUCUCUCAUUUACUGGAAAAUAUAUGUUAGAAAUAUACAUUCCCAGUUCCCUUUUAUAUUAGUUUUAUUAUCACUUUGUGUCAUAGAGAAAAGAGAUUUGAGCAUGGUUGUUUAUUUCUCAAAUUCUGGUGUCAGAUGACUUUACUUUCAGACUUGUUUGGGCCAGAUCCCCAGGUUUACCGAAGAAGAUCAUUUGAUAAACAGCAUCUAGGAGUUCCAUCCUUCCUCUGCUGUACUGAAGAGGAUGUCCAAAGGUGACUCCACAAGCUGGAGGAGAUGUAUGAAGACAAAGACAUAUCUCCUUAAAAACCCCCGGCCUCAACUGGACUGCGCGCUCAGCCCUCUGCCUCUAUGCUGAGUCACCCGUGUGCCUGCCCAGGUGUAAUCUCUCCACUCAACCAUGUAACCUCGCUCCUCCCCUGAGUCCCAGUGACUGAGCACUUUCUCUCAGGUUCUGUCUGGAGAGGUGCCCAUCUGUUCUUAUGGAUGUCCUUUCCCUAAUAAACUUUGUUACUUUACUUUCCACUA